AUCUUCGUGGAGGCCGACAUGCGGGCGUGCCUCGGCGACUUUGGCCUCUCCCUCCUCCUCGCACCGCCAGACGCGUGCGCCACGGGGGGCACUCGUGACCUCGUGUGCUGCACCACGACAGGAUGAAGCCCGUGGGCGUUGGCAAGAAGCGGCGAGACUUGGCGCUGGCGGACUGGGUGGUGCCCAAGAUCCAGGUCGGCGAGCACAGGGUGGUCGUCGACCGACCGGUGCUGCCUAAGAUCCAGUUUGGCUUGCUUUGCAGUAGGGAGACCAAGGCCAGACUUCUGGCGAUGUUUUCCUGAUGGAAAGCAGUUAUACGAUCAAGUGACUGGUGAUGUGAUUUGCCAUGGUGAGAAAACUUCUUACAAGAUGGGCGCAAGAGCUUUCCUAGUGGCCAUUCGCGGAGUAGGGAAGGCACUGUCGAUCUCUAAUUGUCAGCUGAGUAUUUGGACUGUGCAGUUCAUCAUGUACUCAUACAUAUACCACCUCAAAGACGCCUUAUUAAUCCUGUUUCUUAUUGCAUUUAUUCGGAGCACUACGUACUCAUUUAUGAAAGCCUCGCCAAAAGAUGUCCUUCUUAUAGUUGAGUACAAGAAUAAUUAUCUCUUGUAUCUUAUUGUAAAAUCUGAAACAUUUGUUCUGUAGAUGGUUAGCUUGCAUUUAUGCUAUAAUUACCUCAAAUCACGUUAUCGGAGAGUAAAUCUUCGACCGGGUGGCGGAGUGCACCCGCCCUAAAUCCUAAGAUGAGGAGGGGCCUAAGCGUUUUGCUUGUUAGUUGGAAAAGUGGGAAGAACACAAGAACACAAGAACACACAAGGAUUUAGAGUGGUUCGGGCCGCCGGAGCGUAACACCCUACUCCACCGUGUGAUGUAUUGCUUGAGAGCUUGUAUGAACUUGUUAGUGUC